GAUGAACGCUGGCGGCGUGCCUAACACAUGCAAGUCGAACGGAGAUUACGGACGGAAGUUUUCGGAUGGAAGCCUGUAAUUCUUAGUGGCGGACGGGUGAGUAACGCGUGGGCAACCUGCCCUAUACAGGGGGAUAGCAGCUGGAAACGGCUGGUAAGACCGCAUAAGUCGGUUAAAUCGCAUGAUUUGAUCGGGAAAUGAGCAAUCAGGUAUAGGAUGGGCCCGCGUCCGAUUAGCCAGUUGGCAGGGUAAAAGCCUACCAAAGCGACGAUCGGUAGCCGGACUGAGAGGUCGGACGGCCACAUUGGGACUGAGACACGGCCCAAACUCCUACGGGAGGCAGCAGUGGGGGAUAUUGCACAAUGGAGGAAACUCUGAUGCAGCGACGCCGCGUGAGUAAAGAAGUAUUUCGGUAUGUAAAGCUCUAUCAGCAGGGAAGAUGAUGACGGUACCUGACUAAGAAGCCCCGGCUAACUACGUG
rnacentral:rRNA from 1 species